rnacentral:rRNA from 1 species
CGUGUAGGCGGGUCUUUAAGUCAGGGGUGAAAUGCCAAGGCUCAACCUUGGAACUGCCUUUGAUACUGGGGACCUUGAGUCCGGGAGAGGUGAGUGGAACUGCGAGUGUAGAGGUGAAAUUCGUAGAUAUUCGCAAGAACACCAGUGGCGAAGGCGGCUCACUGGCCCGGAACUGACGCUGAGACGCGAAAGCGUGGGGAGCAAACAGGAUUAGAUACCCUGGUAGUCCACGCUGCAAACGAUGGAUGCUAGCCGUUGGGGAGCUUGCUCUUCAGUGGCGCAGCCAACGCUUUAAGCAUCCCGCCUGGGGAGUACGGUCGCAAGAUUAAA